rnacentral:rRNA from 1 species
GUUGAACGCUGGCGGCAUGCUUUACACAUGCAAGUCGAACGGUAACAGGGUGCUUGCACCGCUGACGAGUGGCGAACGGGUGAGUAAUGCGUCGGAACGUGCCGAGUAGUGGGGGAUAACGCAGCGAAAGUUGUGCUAAUACCGCAUACGUACUGAGGUAGAAAGUGGGGGACCUUCGGGCCUCACGCUAUUCGAGCGGCCGACGUCUGAUUAGCUAGUAGGUGAGGUAAAGGCUCACCUAGGCGACGAUCAGUAGCGGGUCUGAGAGGAUGAUCCGCCACACGGGGACUGAGACACGGCCCAGACUCCUACGGGAGGCAGCAGUGGGGAAUUUUGGACAAUGGGCGAAAGCCUGAUCCAGCCAUGCCGCGUGUCUGAAGAAGGCCUUCGGGUUGUAAAGGACUUUUGUCAGGGAGGAAAUCCCUAGUGCUAAUAACACUGGGGGAUGACAGUACCUGAAGAAUAAGCACCGGCUAACUACGUGCCAGCAGCCGCAGUAA